rnacentral:lncRNA from 1 species
UUUAAUAAAAAAAAAAAAAGUUCCUGAAUUGGAAACCAGUGUUAGAAACCAGACAAGGAAGUCCAGGUGUGGUGGCUCAUGCCUGUAAUCCCAGCACUUUGGCAGGCUGAGGCAGAAACUCUACAAGCCAGAAGAGAGUGGGGCCCAAUAUUCAACAUUCUUUUUUUUUUUUAAUAUACACCACAUUUUCUUUAUUCAUUUGUUGAUAGACACUUAAGUUGAU